AAAGGAAAAAGGUUUGGUUCCUAAAGCUAAAAAAAACAUAAUCAGAGUUCUCCUGCCUCAUCACCUUUAGGUUUCCCAAGAAGGAAGGACAUCACUGCCUCUGAUUUUCACCCCAGGACAAGUAAUUUUCCUCCUGCGCUGGGUUUAGCAAUGACUCCUCAACAAUAGAAGGUGGAUCACAGUGACUUAACCUGCCAAGGAGGGCUGCAAUUUGAUUCCCAGCCCGAGAUUUGCAGAUAGAGAAACUGAGGCAGGGAAGUGACUUCUUCAGUGCCUCAGAGCAAAGGAGUGUGAGAAAGUUGUCAGAACUUGCUGAUUCCCUGUCCUAAAACCAAGCUACUAUUGCAGCUCAUCUGCACUUAUCACUGUGGAUCCUACUCAGACCUUCAGGUGUGUUGAUUCCUUGUGGCAAUAAGAUCUCCACCUUCAUUACGUGUUGUAAUUUGGAGUCAACAGUAGUCAGUCCUGAGCAAGCUAAGGUCAAAUGCAGUUCUGUAAGUGCUGUUAAGUCAGAACUAUCAGGCACAAAAAAAGAGAGCACGACAACCCUAGAGACAGUUUUGUUCAAAAGCAAUGUCAUUUAGGCAGGAAAGGGAAUUUCAGUAGUCAGCAGAAUAUAGUAAUUGCUGCUAUAUAAAUUCCACUACAUGAUUUGGGGUACAAUAAAUAAAAUAAGAAAGUGACAAUGUGAUAUGAGUUUUAGAAAUUCUGAUCUAGAUAAAUGAUUGCACAAGCUGCAGCAUCAUAGCAGCUUCUAAAGCUUUACAGAGCCUCACUAAACCCAGCAGUUCUUCAUCACCCACCUAAGGGUCACCCAAGGCAGUAUGGACUAGUAGCAUGUGAAACCUUGCAGCCAUCCAUGUUGUGCUCAAA